rfam:Roseofilum reptotaenium AO1-A Rreptotaenium_AO1_contig_65_len_62392_cov_459.575, whole genome shotgun sequence.
GUUGAAAUGAACAUAAAUCCCUAUUAGGGAUUGAAAC